rnacentral:rRNA from 1 species
CGGAGGAAAAGAAACCAACAGGGAUUGCCCAGUAACGGCGAGUGAAGCGGCAACAGCUCAAAUUUGAAAUCUGGCCCCAGGCCCGAAUUGUAAUUUGCAGAGGAUGCUUCUGGCGACGUGCCUUCCGAGUUCCCUGGAACGGGACGCCAUAGAGGGUGAGAGCCCCGUCCGGUCGUGCACCUAGCCUCUGUGAAGCUCCUUCGACGAGUCGAGUAGUUUGGGAAUGCUGCUCUAAAUGGGAGGUAUACGUCUUCUAAAGCUAAAUACCGGCCAGAGACCGAUAGCGCACAAGUAGAGUGAUCGAAAGAUGAAAAGCACUUUGAAAAGAGGGUUAAAUAGUACGUGAAAUUGCUGAAAGGGAAGCGCUUAUGACCAGACUUGGGCCGGUGAAUCACCCGUCGUUCUCGGCGGUGCACUUUGCCGGCUCAGGCCAGCAUCAGUUUGCUUCGGGGGAUAAAGGCUUCGGGAAAGUAGCUCCCUCGGGAGUGUUAUAGACCGUUGCGUAAUACCUGGGGCGGACUGAGGUACGCGUUCUGCAAGGAUGCUGGCGUAAUGGUCAUCAGUGACCCGUCUUGAAACACGGACCAAGGAGUCGUCUUCGUAUGCGAGUGUUCGGGUGUAAAACCCCUACGCGUAAUGAAAGUGAACGUAGGAGAGAGCUUCGGCGCAUCUCCGACCGAUCCUGAUGUUCUCGGAUGGAUUUGAGUAAGAGCAUACGGGGCCGGACCCGAAAGAAGGUGAACUAUGCCUGUAUAGGGUGAAGCCAGGGGAAACUCUGGUGGAGGCUCGCAGCGGUUCUGACGUGCAAAUCGAUCGUCAAAUAUGGGCAUGGGGGCGAA